GUGCUCGCUUUGGCAGCACAUAUUCUAAAAUUGUAAUGAUACAGAGAAGAUUAGCAUGGCCCCUGAGCAAGAAUGACACACAAAUUCUUAAAAACAAACAGGCUGAG
rnacentral:snRNA from 1 species